GAUGAACGCUGGCGGCGUGCUUAACACAUGCAAGUCGAACGGAAAGGCUCCUGCUUGCAGGGGUACUCGAGUGGCGAACGGGUGAGUAACACGUGGGUGAUCUGCCCUGCACUUCGGGAUAAGCCUGGGAAACUGGGUCUAAUACCGGAUAGGACGAUGGUUUGGAUGCCAUUGUGGAAAGUUUUUCGGUGUGGGAUGAGCUCGCGGCCUAUCAGCUUGUUGGUGGGGUAAUGGCCUACCAAGGCGUCGACGGGUAGCCGGCCUGAGAGGGUGUACGGCCACAUUGGGACUGAGAUACGGCCCAGACUCCUACAGGAGGCAGCAGUGGGGAAUAUUGCACAAUGGGCGCAAGCCUGAUGCAGCGACGCCGCGUGGGGGAUGACGGCCUUCGGGUUGUAAACUCCUUUCGCUAGGGACGAAGCGCAAGUGACGGUACCUGGAGAAGAAGCACCGGCUAACUACGUG
rnacentral:rRNA from 1 species